GAUGAACGCUAGCUACAGGCUUAACACAUGCAAGUCGAGGGGUAACGAGAGGAAAGCUUGCUUUCCUUGUCGACGACCGGCGCACGGGUGAGUAACGCGUAUCCAACCUGCCCCCAACUAAGGAAUAACAUUGCGAAAGUAAGAAUAAUACCUUAUAAUUUCCUCAGAUGUCAUCUGACGAGGAAUAAAGAUUUAUCGGUUGUGGAUGGGGAUGCGUCUGAUUAGCUUGUUGGCGGGGUAACGGCCCACCAAGGCAACGAUCAGUAGGGGUUCGGAGAGGAAGGUCCCCCACAUUGGAACUGAGACACGGUCCACACUCCUACGGGAGGCAGCAGUGAGGAAUAUUGGUCAAUGGGCGGAAGCCUGCACCAGCCAAGUAGCGUGCAGGAUGACGUCCCUAUGUGUUGUAAACUGCUUUUAUACAGGAAUAAAGUUAGCCACGUGUGGUUAUUUGUAGGUACUGUAUGAAUAAGCACCGGCUAAUUCCGUGCCAGCAGCCGCCGUAA
rnacentral:rRNA from 1 species